GGUCACCGUAGCGCCACGUACGUAGAUCCUUCUUAUUCGGAGCAACGUCAGUACGGCCGCGGCAGCCGAGGCGACAACCUCGUCCGGAGCGACAUCGGUGGCACCGCGUACGACAUCCUUGUCGAAGAGAAAUGAGAAGCUGGAAAGGACACAGGCAGAGAGAGAGAGAUACAUUGGGGCUCGCAAAUCGUCAUCACGGUGCCUGGUUCAUUGCAUUACUUAUUCAACUCCCAACCACGAAGGACAGCGGUUGCAUGGCAUCGCACAAUACGUUUACAGGU
rnacentral:misc_RNA from 1 species